GCCAACGUAGCUCAGGGGUUAGAGCGGGCGUUUCAUAAGCGCUAGGUCGGUGGUUCAAGUCCACCCGUUGGCACCA
rnacentral:tRNA from 7 species